rnacentral:rRNA from 1 species
UUGCGCAAUGGGCGAAAGCCUGACGCAGCAACGCCGCGUGGGUGAAGAAGGCCUUCGGGUCGUAAAGCCCUUUCGGACGGGACGAAAGUCUCCCGGCGACAAACCGGGAGGCCUGACGGUACCGUAAGAAGAAGCACCGGCUAACUCCGUGCCAGCAGCCGCGGUAAUACGGAGGGUGCAAGCGUUGUUCGGAAUUACUGAGCGUAAAGCGCGUGUAGGCGGCCUUGUAAGUCAGAUGUGAAAGCCCUCGGCUUAACCGGGGAAGUGCAUCUGAAACUGCUUGGCUUGAGUACGGGAGAGGGAGGCGGAAUUCCCAGUGUAGAGGUGAAAUUCGUAGAUAUUGGGAGGAACACCGGUGGCGAAGGCGGCUUCCUGGACCGAAACUGACGCUGAGACACGAAAGCGUGGGGAGCAAACAGGAUUAGAUACCCUGGUAGUCCACGCUGUAAACGAUGGGCGCUAGGUGUGGGGGGUUUUUAAUCCCUCCGUGCCGCAGUUAACGCAUUAAGCGCCCCGCCUGGGGAGUACGGCCGCAAGGUUA